UACGUUUGGUUGAAUUAAACCGAAAUAUAAAAAUUUUUUUAUUCUCUAGGGUAAAAUCAGGAGAAUUAGAGUAUUUUAUGUUUAAUUUGUAAGAUUCGAUAAGCGACCCAGAUUAGUACCUGGUUAGACGAAAUUAAAGAGAGCAGAAGUAAAGUUGCAUUUAAACUGUAAGGAUAUUGGCAGGCUUUUUAAAUUAUCUUUGGAGGUUGAGUAAUAAUUGAGAACCCACAUUUUCAACUUUUAUUUUAGGCGCAUGUAUGAUCGUUUAUUUUAUUCUUAACGAUUGUAACUAAAAGUUUUUAUUUAAAAAAACAGAUAAAUACCUGGUUUAUAUAAAAGUGUAAAUUUGACCUACAAUAAUUUAGAUUUUGAAUUCUUCACCGAGAGGUGUCGAUGAAAUUGUAAAAGACAGUAAACCUUAUCUUAAUGUUAGGUUGAAGUUUAUCUAAAAGCGGUACAAAUCAUC
rnacentral:rRNA from 1 species